rnacentral:rRNA from 1 species
UGGGGAAUCUUCCGCAAUGGACGAAAGUCUGACGGAGCAACGCCGCGUGAGUGAUGACGGACUUCGGAUUGUAAAGCUCUGUUAAUCGGGACGAAUGGUUUGUGUGCAAAUAGUGCAUAGACAUGACGGUACCGGAAUAGAAAGCCACGGCUAACUACGUGCCAGCAGCCGCGGUAAUACGUAGGGGGCAAGCGUUAUCCGGAUUCAUUGGGCGUAAAGCGCGCGUAGGCGGUUUGUUAGGUCAGGAGUUAAAUCUGGGGGCUCAACCCCUAUCCGCUCCUGAUACCGGCAGGCUUGAGUCUGGUAGGGGAAGGCGGAAUUCCAAGUGGAGCGGUGAAAUGCGCAGAUAUUUGGAAGAACACCGGUGGCGAAGGCGGCCUUCUGGGCCACGACUGACGCUGAGGCGCGAAAGCUAGGGGAGCGAACAGG